rnacentral:sRNA from 1 species
UUCUAGCCCAGAUAGAAGCGGCAUCCUUUUGUUUUUUUCUUUAAAAAACAAAAGAUAUAGCGAAUAGCUGGAAAUAGC